UUCCAAACCUUUUCUGCUAUAUAUUUUCACUGUUUUUUGUCACCAGCUGUCAAUAUUAGUAGUUCCUGCACAGUCACUUGGAUGUUGAAAGAAAGCAAUUGGAAUUCAAAUCCUAACUAAACAAUAAACGUGUAAAUGACAAUUUUGAUCGUCAAAUCUGCUGUAGGCAGAACAGAAUUAAGCCUCAAUAUAGAACUGCGAGCAGAGGAAAACAGCCAUCCUCUGUUACUAGGUUAAGGGCAACAACGUAAAGGAAGAUCUCUUAGUACUACUAGUCAAUAUUCUGUUAAAAGGUCUCGUAUUGACCAUCUGUAUUGUGCGUAAGAUGAUUAAAAAUGUAUGGUAGAUUAUCUGUGACUGCUUAGAGAGAAACACUGGAGAUGCUGAUUAUGUUUAACUCAAUGUUUUCACCUGGUUUCUAUCAAAAGUAGGGGUAAUUAGUAUGAAAACUUAGGAAAAAGUAAAACCACAGCUUUCUUUUAACUUCAGUAUUCCAUGGUAUGUACUCGUUGCCCACCUCUUUCUCCACUGAAUUUAAGUCUAAUGUAAAUGUACAGGUUGUGUAUGAGUGAGUCCAGCUUCCUCAAACAUCUUUUCAUCUUUUAUUAUUCCAAAAUAAUUGGAAAUUACUAGGACUGGCUAUAGUUCUUUUCUGCAUAUACGAGUUGUACAGCACUGUUAGCAAACAGAAAACGUUCAGCUGCUUUAUACGUUCACCUUCUAAGGUAAAUGCCACUUUUGUACUUUCAGGAUGUAGAAUGUGGUUAAUAGAGAAGAGACCAGGAAGAGAAGACAAAUGAUAAAAGCAAGGACCUUUGGUAGACACCUGGACGUAGACAGUGGACAAAGGAAAAAAAGAUCAUCCCACAUCACCAUGUGAGCUGCUGGAAUUGGGAGUGGGGGGAGGAUUACCAUGAAAACAAACUCAAAAGCUAAAGCUACAGCAAUUUAGUCCAGUGCCAGCUGAUUAUGUAAAAGUGCGGCUAUUUCAGUACCUCCUUAAAACAGUUUUAGUUGCAGCACAGUUGAUCAAUUGUGUUUUGCCUUUUCCAUCCAGCCUCUAUUUUAAGGUAAGAUCUUCCUCCCCCUUGUCACAGUUGACAAAUCAGGGCAGGAUGUCAUCAGCAAACAGACCUCUUUCUUCUUCUUUCUUCUUUCAGCUCGACAGACUAGGGGAAUUUACUGUAUGUGGUAAAAAAAAAAAAAAAAAAAGAGGAACAAAAAAAAAGGAGGAACAGAAAUCUAAUAUUCUGAGUUAGCUAGAAAGCAGAAGGAAGAUAUAAGGUGUCUUUCCAGAUGUUCUCUGACUAGAUGGACUCUGUUAAUAUUUAUCUUGGCUUUCUUUGUGUAUAUUUUAAAUAAAUAAAUAGUCUGUAACA
rnacentral:lncRNA from 1 species